CAAGCCUAGUGAUAUAUUUAUGCACAUAAGCAAACGAGACUAUUUAUAGGAAUGUCUCAAAUGAAAGAUUAAAAGGCUAAUUUACUUUAUAAAAGUACUGGCUGGUAUUCAACACUGACAUCCUGCAUGCUUGUUCACUCGGCUUGAGCGCUGCUUGAACCUCAUUUGACCUGGCCACAGAUCCAUCUGGCGUGGAGGGGGAAAGAGAGGUGAAGUGCCCUUUGACCUUUUGAAGGACAGGGAAGCAGCUUCAUAUCUCAUGCUCCUCGGUCGUGCCUGUUUGAUCUGGACUCACCUCAGUUCACACGUCUCAGCUUCUGGCCCACAAGUGGAGGAAUGUGUGUAAUAAUUCAUUUAUUGGAAGAACACAAACAGCACUGAAUAAAAAGUUUUAUAGCAGCCGAGCGAAGACAUAACAGCCUUGAAAACGUACCUGAGAUGGAUGAGGUCACCAGCAAAUACUAUGACAUGUCAUGUGACAGAAUAUCUGCAUGAAGCCCACCUGCAUAGGAAUGACAAAAGGGACCACCAAGCUUAAAUGCAUGUUUCCAUGGAAACCAGCUGAAGGCUGAGUGCACUGACUUUAAAUGCCUGCAUAGACAUUACAGCCAGAGUCAGUGGACUAGCAGUGCACAGGCCUUUCCUCUUUAGGCAUUAGCUGUCGAGACCGGAAUUGUACUUCGCACAGAUGGUUCAUCGUUCGUGGGAUGAUGGGAUGACCAAAAAUAUGUCAGGCUCCCUAACCAAAGCCAUAAACUUAGGCUGCAAAACACUUGAGAAAAUAACAUCAUUGUCGGAGCCUCACACUGCACACACAUAUUAUGCAUGCUGAAUGGUUUCACAUCAGUUUUCAUUAAGAAACAGUUGAUUGUUCUGUUUGGGUGGGAUCGUG